AACUUCUACCAAAACAUUGCACAGCAAAAGUCCUUCUUUCUUGACUAAACCAACAAUACUUUUGAGAAUAUGGGUUCCAAGGCCUCCACAAGCACCCUAGCUCUCUUUCUUGCCUUUAACCUUAUCUUUUUCACUCAGGUCAGUGCCACGAUCCUCCCUGCUUGCACAUCUGUCGUGGACUUGACUGUAUGCCUUGCUUUGCUGGGGGUCCCCAUCAUAGAUAUAGGUAGUCCAUGCUGCGGUUGCUUUAGUGACCUUGUUGACCUCGACGCAGCUGCUUGCCUUUGCGCCUACUUGAAAACUCGGAGCCUCCUCACCCUGGAUCUCACAGCUACCGUUACAACGAUUGUGAAUGGCUGUGGCAAGACCUAUCCAUCAGGGUACCAAUGUCUCUGAACAGAUUUGCUUGUUCACUGUUCGAAUGUGCUUUUCUUUUGUUUCUCAAUCAUGAAUUUACUUCUAAAGAACUCCUCGCCCUAAACAGUGGUUAGAAGUUACUUUGUCAUGGUGAUUUCUCAGAUUUCAUGUUUGUAAUUUCCAAUAAAGUUUUCAUGUGCAAGUGAGCAGUCAGCUCUAAGCUUGUAUCUUUCCGUGCGGUGAUCAAUGAAAAGUUAAUAAGUUUUUUUUAUGUUAUAUUCAUAACGCCAUUUUCUGACUCUGUAAGGGAACGUUACAUAUUUAUAAGCAUAAAAUUGAGGAUUAAUGCAUGG
rnacentral:lncRNA from 1 species